rnacentral:rRNA from 1 species
UGCGCAGGCGGUUCUGCAAGUCAGGCGUGAAAUCCCCGGGCUUAACCUGGGAAUGGCGCUUGAAACUACGGGACUGGAGUAUGGCAGAGGGAGGUGGAAUUCCACGUGUAGCGGUGAAAUGCGUAGAGAUGUGGAGGAACACCGAUGGCGAAGGCAGCCUCCUGGGCCAAUACUGACGCUCAUGCACGAAAGCUGGGGAGCAAACA